GCGAGCGGAACCACAGAUUUACUUCGGUAAUGACGUUGGGAAAGCGAGCGGCGGAUGGGUGAGUAACACGUGGGGAACCUGCCCCUAAGUCUGGGAUACCAUUUGGAAACAGGUGCUAAUACCGGAUAAUAAAGCAGAUCGCAUGAUCAGCUUUUGAAAGGCGGCGUAAGCUGUCGCUAAGGGAUGGCCCCGCGGUGCAUUAGCUAGUUGGUAAGGUAACGGCUUACCAAGGCGACGAUGCAUAGCCGAGUUGAGAGACUGAUCGGCCACAUUGGGACUGAGACACGGCCCAAACUCCUACGGGAGGCAGCAGUAGGGAAUCUUCCACAAUGGACGCAAGUCUGAUGGAGCAACGCCGCGUGAGUGAAGAAGGUUUUCGGAUCGUAAAGCUCUGUUGUUGGUGAAGAAGGAUAGAGGUAGUAACUGGCCUUUAUUUGACGGUAAUCAACCAGAAAGUCACGGCUAACUACGUGCCAGCAGCCGCGGUAAUACGUAGGUGGCAAGCGUUGUCCGGAUUUAUUGGGCGUAAAGCGAGCGCAGGCGGAAAAAUAAGUCUAAUGUGAAAGCCCUCGGCUUAACCGAGGAACUGCAUCGGAAACUGUUUUUCUUGAGUGCAGAAGAGGAGAGUGGAACUCCAUGUGUAGCGGUGGAAUGCGUAGAUAUAUGGAAGAACACCAGUGGCGAAGGCGGCUCUCUGGUCUGCAACUGACGCUGAGGCUCGAAAGCAUGGGUAGCGAACAGGAUUAGAUACCCUGGUAG
rnacentral:rRNA from 1 species